UUCCUCCUUCGUCCGUGCUGCUGUGUGGGUGCUUCAAGAUCUUCUUCCUUUGCUCGUCUGCCACUGUUAAGAGUGUCAAGGUGCUGAGUAUUUCUUUCGUUUUGCCUUGCACUGUCGAAGAUAUGAUUCUCUCUUGUUUAGCAUCGUCGUCGAUGGGUGUUUGAGGAGCUGAACCACUGUAACUAGAGGCUUGAUUUGUGAACUUCUCCCUCUUAGUUUCACGCAUCAGUUGUGCUGAGCAUCUCCUCUCCCUCUGUUUUUUUUUUUCUUUCGGCGGUGUUGUUCUGAGCUGGGGAGGAGGGCUUUAAAUUCUUCAAUUCGUUGCUUCCUCUGCUCCUAGGAUCUACUGAAAAUCAGUAAAAGAAAGCGUUCAAGCAAUGCAGUGGAUCAAAAGUAGUAAAGGUAGAAAAUCUAAAAACAGAGGAGACUACAGAUCCUUCUGCUUAAGUUUGCGUUGGAGGUGAAGGCACACAGGUAGGACCUGUAUAUCGGUCGAUUAGUAUUGGCAAGACACAGCAAAAUCACUAGCUGGAACAAACAAGAAGAUAGUCUGAUGAACAAAUAUUUGCUGAUUGUCUGCCACAACUUGAACAGAUAAAUAAAUGAAACAACCAAAUGGUCUUUGAUUUAGUCGUAGCUGCUGCUUCAACUGUCAACAGUCCAAAUCCCAAAGUAUGAACAGAAGUCAUGUCUGUCUUUUUACCUUAUGACAUGAGCAAACAAAUGAAAUUGCAUCAAUCCAAUACCCAUUCUUUAUACUAGGAUAAA